rnacentral:tRNA from 1 species
CUGGGUGUAGCUCAGUCUGGCCAGAGUGCCUGGUUCGGAUCCAGGAGGCCGCCGGUUCGAAUCCGGCCACCCAGA